rnacentral:ncRNA from 1 species
ACAAUGGCUUGGAUGAAGAGAGUACGGGUUCCUUUCAGUGCAGAGAGUCGGUGGUUGGUGAAAACCGAACUGAGGCGAAUCACGGAAGUUCACUUCGGAGCCGCAAGGUGAAGUUCUUGGCAUAUCUAAACCACGUGGGUGCCCUGGAUGGUAGCCUGAGCCGGAAGCGUCCCAACGUUUCCGUUAUCACAACGAAGUGAAAGGCGUAUGCCUUUGAUUAGGGUGGUACCGCGAGAUAAUCCUCGUCCCUUCU